GAACGCUAGCGGCAGCCUAGCACAUGCAAGUCGAGGGAGGAGCUUUCGGGCUUCGACCGGCGUACGGGUGCGUAACGCGUAUACAAUCUGCCUUUCACAUAGGGAUAGCCCGAAGAAAUUUGGAUUAAUACCUAAUGGCAUAUAGGGGUGGCAUCACCUUUAUAUUAAAGCUGAGGCGGUGAAAGAUGAGUAUGCGUUCUAUUAGCUAGUUGGAGAGGUAACGGCUCCCCAAGGCUACGAUAGAUAGGGGUUCUGAGAGGGAUAUCCCCCACACUGGUACUGAGAUACGGACCAGACUCCUACGGGAGGCAGCAGUGAGGAAUAUUGGACAAUGGUCGGAAGACUGAUCCAGCCAUGCCGCGCGCAGGAAGACGGCCUUAUGGGUUGUAAACUGCUUUUGCAGGGGAAGAAUAAGGACUACGUGUAGUUUGAUGACGGUACUCUGCGAAUAAGCAUCGGCUAACUCCGUGCCAGCAGCCGCGGUAAUACGGAGGAUGCGAGCGUUAUCCGGAAUCAUUGGGUUUAAAGGGUCCGUAGGCGGGCUAAUAAGUCAGAGGUGAAAGCGCUCAGCUCAACUGAGCAACUGCCUUUGAAACUGUUAGUCUUGAAUGGUUGUGAAGUAGUUGGAAUGUGUAGUGUAGCGGUGAAAUGCUUAGAUAUUACACAGAACACCGAUAGCGAAGGCAUAUUACUAACAAUUAAUUGACGCUGAUGGACGAAAGCGUGGGGAGCGAACAGGAUUAGAUACCCUGGUAGUCCCACGCUGUAAACGAUGGUACUAGCUGUUUGGUUGCAAGACUGAGUGGCUAAGCGAAAGUGAUAAGUAUCCCACCUGGGAGUACGCACGCAAGUGU
rnacentral:rRNA from 1 species